AAGGCCUUAGCUUAAUUAAAGCGUUUGAUUUGCAUUCACUCCAUGUGGAAUAGAGUUCCGCAGGUCUUA
rnacentral:tRNA from 1 species